GCUCCCGUAGCUCAGCUGGAUAGAGCAACAGGUUUCUACCCUGUUGGUCGCUGGUUCGAAUCCAGCCGGGGGCGCCA
rnacentral:tRNA from 1 species